UAAUUUAUUCAUUUUCAUUUCCAUCGCACAUAAAAUCAGCCAAAUCUUCUCAAAGAUUGCUUGUGUUUUCGGGCGUCUUGAAUAUCUACAACCCUAUGUUAAUAUUCUGUUGUCCCGGAUUGAAAUUGCAUGUGUCUAGGCUUCAAAGCCGAAUACUCCGUAAUAUUUUGUUUUUUAUCUUCAACCAUCAGGUUAUGCAUUAUGAUGUUGAACUAUGUGUCAUUUCGACUUUAGAACUCCAAAACCACAUUCCACAUCCUUACGUGCUCCUUCCCAUUUUCUCUUGAAAAAUGUGUCUCUUGGUUCCACUGGGUGUCGAAACGCCUUCCAUCUGUAAGGUAAUACUCAAACUUAUAUUCAUUUCUGUUCACUGUGAAAGAAGCAUCUGAUUCAUUUCCUGACAAAAUAUUGUCGAAUAUUAGUGACUGAUCAAGAACGUUCUCAUCGUUGUUCGAAUCCACAACCCCGAGAAAAGCAUCCAAAUCCAUAAAUCUUAGGAACCAACAGUCUCUAAUACUUUAAUAAAAAAAAACAGUCUCUAAUACCAACGAAGGUAUUCCAUGAUAACCGCUUGUGUACUGGCCUUUCCACGCAACAGGUUUAAUUUUUUUUUUUUUUGGAUUUGUUGAAAGUUUAUUGAAUAAAAAGAAAAAUGGUGCUUAAAAUUAAAGAUAAUAAUAUGUAUUUAUAGUUAUUUUUUUUAAAACUGUUACUGUUUUUCAACAGUCAAGUGGAGGAAAAGGAAAAAAAAAAAACGCAUUAAAAAAAAUCAAUGAAGAAAACCAAAAAUCAAACAAGCUUAAUAAAAACCUCAUAAAUGGAUAACAAAAGAAAAUGACGGAAUAGAGGUAAUUUCAUACCUGAAAGCGAGGAUAAAUGUAGAAUGAAACCUGAAAAUUUGGAAAGGGGAACUACAAAUUAUAAAAUCAAACCAGAAAAGCGAACCCAUAUUAAUGAAGUGAGGAAAUUAGUCAGCUUGAGGCGGUAGUCGGUGGUUGUAGGUGGCGGAGCAUGGGAAAUGGUGGUGAUGAUGAGUGGUGGUGGCGUUUAGGAGGUUGUGGUGGCCGUGAGUGGUUCUCCUGAGAGAAAACCACAAAGGAAAACAGAGAGAAUAAGUACCACUCAUCAAAUUGAUAGUCACUCAGUCACUCAUUCCAAAUCAAUUACUCAUCGUUUGGGAAAGAACGAGUGGGAUAUAGCAAAAGGAUUUGUCAUUUA
rnacentral:lncRNA from 1 species